rnacentral:rRNA from 1 species
GUGGGGAAUAUUGGACAAUGGGGGGAACCCUGAUCCAGCCAUGCCGCGUGUGUGAAGAAGACCUUUUGGUUGUAACGCACUUUAAGCGAGGAGGAGGCUACCGAGAUUAAUACUCUUGGAUAGUGGACGUUACUCGCAGAAUAAGCACCGGCUAACUCUGUGCCAGCAGCCGCGGUAAUACAGAGGGUGCAAGCGUUAAUCGGAUUUACUGGGCGUAAAGCGCGCGUAGGUGGCCAAUUAAGUCAAAUGUGAAAUCCCCGAGCUUAACUUGGGAAUUGCAUUCGAUACUGGUUGGCUAGAGUAUGGGAGAGGAUGGUAGAAUUCCAGGUGUAGCGGUGAAAUGCGUAGAGAUCUGGAGGAAUACCGAUGGCGAAGGCAGCCAUCUGGCCUAAUACUGACACUGAGGUGCGAAAGCAUGGGGAGCAAACAGGAUUAGAAACCCUAGUAGUCC